rnacentral:rRNA from 1 species
CGAACGCUGGCGGCGUGCUUAACACAUGCAAGUCGAACGGAAAGGCCCUGCUUUUGUGGGGUGCUCGAGUGGCGAACGGGUGAGUAACACGUGAGUAACCUGCCCUUGUCUUUGGGUUAACUUCAGGAAACUGGGGCUAUUACCGGAUAGGAGCUCCUGCUGCAUGGUGGGGGUUGGAAAGUUUGGGCGGUUGGGGAUGGCCUCGCGGGUUAUCAGCUUGUUGGUGGGGUAGUGGUUUACCAAGGCUUUGACGGGUAGCCGGCCUGAGAGGGUGACCAGCGACAAUGGGACUGAGAUACGGAGCAGAAGGCAACGGGAGGCAGGAGGGGGGAAUAUUGCACAAUGGGGGGAAGCGUGAGGCAGAAACGCCGCGUGCGGGAUGACGGCCUUCGGGUUGUAAAAAGCUUUCGCAUGUGACGAAGCGUGAGUGACGGUAAUGGGUAAAGAAGCACCGGCUAACUACGUG